GGAGCUGUGCCUGAAAAUCCAAAGGGCCACUUUGAUAGAGUGAUCUAUGUGGGUUAAAACCCCGCCAACUCCU
rnacentral:tRNA from 1 species